rnacentral:rRNA from 1 species
UACGGAGGGAGCUAGCGUUGUUCGGCAUUACUGGGCGUAAAGCGCACGUGGGCGGUAUAGUAAGUCAGGGGUGAAAUCCCGGGGCUCAACCCCGGAACUGCCCUUGAAACUGCUAAGCUAGAAUCUUGGAGAGGCGAGUGGAAUUCCGAGUGUAGAGGUGAAAUUCGUAGAUAUUCGGAAGAACACCAGUGGCGAAGGCGACUCGCUGGACAAGUAUUGACGCUGAGGUGCGAAAGCGUGGGGAGCAAACAGG